rnacentral:rRNA from 1 species
UGCUCGCAAGAGAGCCGAGAGACAGGUGCUGCAUGGCUGUCGUCAGCUCGUGUCGUGAGAUGUUAGGUUAAGUCCUGCAACGAGCGCAACCCCUGCCUUUAGUUGCCAUCAUUCAGUUGGGCACUCUAGAGGGACUGCCGGUGUUAAACCGGAGGAAGGUGGGGAUGACGUCAAGUCCUCAUGGCCUUUAUGACCAGGGCUACACACGUGCUACAAUGGCCGGUACAAAGCGUCGCGAACUCGCGAGAGGGAGCCAAUCGCAAAAAACCGGUCUCAGUUCGGAUUGAAGUCUGCAACUCGACUUCAUGAAGUCGGAAUCGCUAGUAAUCGAAGAUCAGCACGCUUCGGUGAAUACGUUCCCGGGCCUUGUACACACCGCCCGUCACACCAUGGGAGUCGAUUGCUCCAGAAGUCGCGAUCCUGACCCGUAAGGGAGGGUAGCGCCCAAGGAGUGAUCGGUAACUGGGGUGAAGUCGUAACAAGGUAGCCGUAGGGGAACC